rnacentral:rRNA from 1 species
UACGGGGGGGGCAAGCGUUGUUCGGAAUUACUGGGCGUAAAGGGCUCGUAGGGGGCCAACUAAGUCAGACGUGAAAUCCCUCAGCUUAACUGGGGAACUGCGUCUGAUACUGGAUGGCUUGAAUUCGGGAGAGGGAUGUGGAAUUCCAGGUGUAGCGGUGAAAUGCGUAGAUAUCUGGAGGAACACCGGUGGCGAAGGCGGCAUCCUGGACCGAUAUUGACGCUGAUGCGCGAAAGCCAGGGGAGCAAACGGG